rnacentral:lncRNA from 1 species
CCACUCCUGAAGCCCCCCAGACACACUCAGAAGUCACUGUGAGUGAGCAGCCUAAGAAAGAAAGAGAGGGGCUAUGCCACCUGGUAAAUUCCAUGAUAUUUUGGCAAAGUCUAUCCACCUCCUCCCUCCGUGAGUCUCUCAGGAUUGCCAACUGAAGCGAUUCCAUAUGACUCAGACCAUCCCGGGUCCCACGUCUCCUGCAAAAACCAUCAGAAGUCAGGGCAGAGUGGAGUAAAGCUCAAGAGAACCAUCAGACUUCCAGCUCCAGGAUGUCAAGGCUGUAUUCGUUUCAACCUUUGCUGGCCAUCAGCACAGACCCUUACCCAUACUAGAGUACAUUUGCAUUAAUAAAAC